rnacentral:rRNA from 1 species
AACGAACGCUGGCGGCAUGCCUAACACAUGCAAGUCGAACGAAACCUUCGGGUCUAGUGGCGCACGGGUGCGUAACGCGGGGGGACCUGCCCUUGGGUUCGGAAUAACUCCCCGAAAGGGGUGCUAAUACCGGAUCAUGUCUUCGGUCCAAAGAUUUAUCGCCUUUGGAUGGGCCGGAGUUGGAUUAGCUAGUUGGUAGGGUAAAAGCCUACCAAGGCGACGAUCCAUAGCUGGGCUGAGAGGAUGAUCAGCCACACUGGGACUGAGACACGGCCCAGACUCCUACGGGAGGCAGCAGUGGGGAAUAUUGGACAAUGGGCGAAAGCCUGAUCCAGCAAUGCCGCGUGAGUGAUGAAGGCCGUAGGGUUGUAAAGCUCUUUUACCCGGGAUGAUAAUGACAGUACCGGGAGAAUAAGCUCCGGCUAACUCCGUG